rnacentral:ncRNA from 1 species
UAUAUAUUUGAUUUUGGUUUAGAUUUUUAUAGUAUUGUUGAAAUUGUAUGAAAGUUUUUGCGUGAAGGUUAAUUAAAUUUUAUAUUAAUUGAUUUAGGUAAAUUAGAGUAAUGAUUACUUACAUCCUCAGCAUAAAAUAUUAUAAUUUAAAUAUACUAACGUAUGAAUUAGCAACAAUAUAAGGCCUGAUAAAUAUUUGUGCCAGCAUUCGCGGUUAUACUUUAAGGUAAAGUAAAAAUUUUUGGUUGUUAGUUAAAUGAAGAUUUACAAACAUUAUAUUGAUAAUAAAAGGUAAAAUUAGGUUAUUAUUAUGUAUGUAAUAGGAAAUGGAAAUUGAAGCUAAAAAAUUUUAAUUAUAAACUAGGAUUAGAUACCCUAUUAUUUUAAAAGGAUUAUAUAAAACCGAAUUAGUAUUAGAUAGGUACUUAAAAAUUAAAAAAUUUGGCGGUGAUUUAAUCUUAUUAGAGGAAUUUGUCUUUUAAUCGAUAAACCACGAAUAAUCUUACCCAUUUUUGUGUUAAACUCAGUUUGUAUACCAUCAUUGUCAGAUGAUUCUAAAAGGAUAAAUUUUUGUAUUUGAAUGUUUAAAUAAAUUAGAUCAUGGUGCAGCUAAUAGGUGGGUUAAGAUGAAUUACAAUAAAUUAUUUUAUGACGGAUUAAUAAAUUAAACUUUAUUAUAAAGGAGGAUUUAAUUGUAUUAUAAGUUUAACAAGCUUAUAAGAAAUAAGCUCUAAAUCAUGUACAUAUCGCCCGUCGCUUUCGUCUAUAAGCGAAAUAAGUCGUAACAUAGUGGGUAUACCGGAAGGUGUAUCUGGAAUAAA